AAGCAUGGAUUGCAAAAUCGUUUGCAUGCCCCGAGGUGACCAACUUAAAACAGGUGACUCGUUUUGGAAGCAAAACAAACACAAGAAGGGGAUUUGGGUUGCAGGCAGCUGUGGAUCCUGCACGCUCAGCUGGUGACGCACAAAGAAACAGGUGACGGCGUCGGGAUGUUUGCCCUGCAAGGGUGCCACCACGUGCUUCUUUCCCCUGGAACAAGCUCUCUCGGUAAAAUCUGCACCUGGCCUGGUGGUCUUGGCAACAUCGGACAACCUCUAGCAGAUGUUCGCCUCUCUUUUGUCGAUGACUUCGCGGUGGCUGGUCCGCGAGACAAAACUGCGGAUCAUCUCAUGGGUUCAUCGGCUGCAGAGAUCGUACGUGAUGAAGCUUUACUCAGUCACCAGAUCUGGGAUGAAAGUUACCCUUUGGCUGUGUGACAGACAGGAAGAAAGGGACGCUCACGCUAGUGUGAAGGCAUAUGAAAUGCUUUCGCAGCCAGCCAAACUUCCUGAAUCCUCUUCUAUGGAGAGAUGCCAAACCACAGAAGAGAGAAUAAGGGUAGCCAAGAAGAAGGGAAAGAAGGAGCUGAAAGAGAAAGAUAGAGACAGUGUGUCUCAAUUUAUCCUGGAAAAAAACCCUGAUUUGCGAGACGUAAAUGCACCUACAUGAGAGGGGAUAAUCUACAUGUGUUCAUAGAGGUAAGGAGAGGUGAUUGCGUGUGUGUGUGUGUGUGUGUGUGUGUGUGUGUGUGUGUGUGGAGGAAACAUGAAAGUUAGUUUGUGCACAGAAUUUCUUGAUUCCAAGGAGAAAUCUCACAUUAUAAAACAUUACACAAAUAUUAAGAAAGUGAAAAGAUGCUUUUA
rnacentral:lncRNA from 12 species